AGCAAGAAGUCAUCUCAUUCCCUUCCAGUUACCAUCCCCUUCAAUGUGAACCAACGGAGUAACAAUAACAAUUUGUCAUUGCAUUACUCGGAUUCUAAUGAGAGUGACGACGAAGACCAUGAGGAACCAGAU